AUCAGUCACAAUAGGUGACUGGCAUUACUGCCAAUUAUCAUCAUGACUACAUGUGGCCACUGAUUCAACCAACUUUCCUUCCCAUAUGGACUGCAGGAACAAGGACAACAUAAACCGGAAAAGCAUACCUAUGAAGGGAGAAGAACAGAACAGUAUGCACGAGUACACUUUAAGCUCUGGCACCUCCUAUUUCUCUUGACCAUCUCUGAGAUGUUUCUACACCUUGAUUGGAGUCACCUGUGGUAAAUUAGGCUGAUUGGACAGGAUUUGGAAAGACACAUCUCUGUCUACAUAAGGUCUCACAGCUGCCAAUGCAUUUCAGAUCAAAAUCCAAGCCAUGAGGAAGAAAGAACUGCAUGUAGAGCUACGGAUCUGGAGAAGGGUCAGGGAUGUGGAAUUCCUAUCGCCCAAUGCCCGGGACAAGCAGUUUCGGGCGCCGGGCAGGUUAAUUUUUCCGGCCCUUAGCCCGGCUUCAGGCAAGCAGGGCCGGACUUGACAAGCGCUGCGGCGCUCUGCAGUCUGUAUGGAGCGGGCUCCUGACUCGUGCCCGCUCCGUACUCUGCAGCCCCCGGCUGUGGAAACUGGCGUCCUCUGAAGGCAGAGCAGGGGGAGGGGAGAAGCUGUGUACGUCCUCACUCCCCCUGCUCUGCCUUCUUUCUGCAAUGCAGGCCUGCGGGGGGAGAUGAGGAGG